AUACAGAGGGUGCAAGCGUUAAUCGGAAUUACAGGGCGUAAAGCGCGCGUAGGCGGUUUAAUCAGUCGGAUGUGAAAGCCCCGGGCUCAACCUGGGAACUGCAUUCGAUACUGUUAAGCUAGAGUAUGGUAGAGGGAAGUGGAAUUCCAGGUGUAGCGGUGAAAUGCGUAGAUAUCUGGAGGAACAUCAGUGGCGAAGGCGACUUCCUGGACCAAUACUGACGCUGAGGUGCGAAAGCGUGGGGAGCAAACAGGAUUAGAAACCCCAGUAGUCC
rnacentral:rRNA from 1 species